AUUCGCCUUGAGUUGAUCUGGCUCAGGACGAACGCUGGCGGCGCGCUUAACACAUGCAAGUCGAGCGAGAACCAGUCCUUCGGGACUGGGGAAAGCGGCGAACGGGUGAGUAACACGUGAGUAAUCUGCCCUCGACAUCGGGAUAGCCCGGGGAAACCCGGAUUAAUACCGAAUGGCCCAGCAGCUCUUCGGGGCGGCUGGAAAAGGUAGCUUCGGCCUCUGGUCGAGGAGGAGCUCGCGGCGGAUUAGCUUGUUGGUGGGGUAAUGGCCUACCAAGGCGACGAUCCGUAGCUGGUCUGAGAGGACGAUCAGCCACACUGGGACUGAGACACGGCCCAGACUCCUACGGGAGGCAGCAGUGGGGAAUCUUGCGCAAUGGGCGAAAGCCUGACGCAGCGACGCCGCGUGCGGGAAGAAGGCCUUAGGGUUGUAAACCGCUUUCAGGAGGGACGAAGCUACUCGGGUUAAUAGCCCAGAGGGUGACGGUACCUCCAGAAGAAGCCCCGGCUAACUACGUGCCAGCAGCCGCGGUAAUACGUAGGGGGCAAGCGUUGUCCGGAUUUAUUGGGCGUAAAGAGCGUGUAGGCGGCUUGGCAAGUCCGCUGUGAAAACUUGAGGCUCAACCUCGAGACGUCGGUGGAAACUGCCUCGCUAGAGUCCGGAAGAGGAGAGUGGAAUUCCUGGUGUAGCGGUGAAAUGCGCAGAUAUCAGGAAGACACCCGUGGCUAAGCGGCUCUCUAGUAGGUACUGACG
rnacentral:rRNA from 1 species